rnacentral:rRNA from 1 species
AGAGUUUGAUCAUGGCUCAGAGUGAACGCUGGCGGCGUGCUUAACACAUGCAAGUCGAACGAGAACGGGUUAUAGCUUGCUAUAACUGUCAGCUAAGUGGCGCACGGGUGAGUAAUAUAUAGUUAAUCUGCCCUAGAGAGAGGAAUAACAAUUAGAAAUGAUUGCUAAUGCCUUAUAUGCCUUUAAGACAUAAGUCUGCAAGGGAAACAUUUAUGGCUCUAGGAUGAGACUGUACAGUAUCAGUUAGUUGGUGAGGUAAUGGCUCACCAAGACAAUGACGCUUAACUGGUUUGAGAGGAUGAUCAGUCACACUGGAACUGAGACACGGUCCAGACUCCUGCGGGAGGCAGCAGUGGGGAAUAUUGCACAAUGGACGAAAGUCUGAUGCAGCAACGCCGCGUGGAGGAUGACACUUUUCGGAGCGUAAACUCCUUUUAUAUGGGAAGAUAAUGACGGUACCAUAUGAAUAAGCACCGGCUAACUCCGUGCCAGCAGCCGCGGUAAUACGGAGGGUGCAAGCGUUACUCGGAAUCACUGGGCGUAAAGAGAAUGUAGGCGGAUAAAUAAGUCAGAUGUGAAAGCCAAUAGCUCAACUAUUGAACUGCAUUUGAAACUGUUAAUCUAGAAUAUGGGAGAGGUAGAUGGAAUUUCUGGUGUAGGGGUAAAAUCCGUAGAGAUCAGAAAGAAUACCGAUUGCGAA